AUUGAACGCUGGCGGCAGGCCUAACACAUGCAAGUCGAACGAGUGGCGGACGGGUGAGUAAUGUCUGGGAAACUGCCUGAUGGAGGGGGAUAACUACUGGAAACGGUAGCUAAUACCGCAUACCAUCAGAUGUGCCCAGAUGGGAUUAGCUUGUUGGUGGGGUAACGGCUCACCAAGGCGACGAUCCCUUGCUGGUCUGAGAGGAUGACCAGCCAACCUGGAACUGGGACACGGGCCAGACUCCUACGGGAGGCAGCAGUGGGGAAUAUUGGAAAAUGGGCGCAAGCCUGAUGGAGCCAAGCCGCGUGGAUGAAAGAGGCCUUCGGGUUGUAAAGUACUUUCAGCGGGGAGGCGUUACCCGCAGAAGAAGCACCGGCUUACUCCGGGCCAGCAGCCGCGGUAAUUC
rnacentral:rRNA from 1 species